AUAUUAUUAUUAUUAUUAUGAACCGCUCUGGUACGACGAACUCGCUGUGACGACGAACGGUAAAAGUCAGAUACGUUCGCGGGGAGGGAGAGCAAUAAUAAUAAUUACGAGUUAUCGGCGGCGACGGGGCCCCGGUAGCGGCGGUAUGGAAUUCUUCGAAUUCGACAACAUUAGUAUUAUAUUAUUAUUAUUAUUAUUAUAUUUUGUCAGAGGAAUGAGCGCUCGCGACACGGAUUAUAAAAAACGGGUCGACCGAUUAGAUAUUUUCUCACCGCCGCCGUCGCUCGAAAUUCGGACGUAAAGUUCCUCUACACGACGGAAGCGCUACCGGCGGAUACGGUCCACGACGUUAUCGCCACCGCGAUGUUGUUGUUAAAUCCGUGGGUUUCUGCGGUAUAAUAUUAUUAGGUAUCAUAUAGUUGUUGUUUUUUACGCGCUUUGACGAAAUCGUCGAAAACAAAAAAAUACCAAUAUCGUUAUGAUUCACGAGUUCACCACGAUGUUUUUUUUUGUCGUCGUCGUCGUACGCCGUAGUACAACGACGAUGACGAGUCGGCACGAAAUACACACGACAGACCGCUGGAGUUCAAACUUCAAACAGUAACGUGUACAUAGAAAUUAAUAAAACUAUUUGGAGUCAUACCAGUCUUGGAGGAAAAUGAAAAACAUUGAAGUACCUACAACAAUAAAAAGAUUAUUUGAUAAGGGCAAGGCUGUAACAGAGGAGGUCCAGGGGUCCGGAUCCCCCCGAAAUUUUUAAAAUUAGAAAUAUUUUACGUAAAUUAUAGAUAAAAAUGAUAAGUGUUCAAUAUCUAGAUAUUUAAAAAAAUGUUGGACCUCCCCCAAAUUUUUUUUCCAGUUACGGCCUUGGAUAAGGGUAUUUAUAAGCCUUCUACUUGAUACAACAUUUAUAAUUCAAGCUGCAAUUCAAAAUGUAGUUAUCUUCAACGACUUGGGUUAUAUGUUGAUACAGUCAUGUUGGUUUUUAGAAGUACGAAAUAUGAGUAAUGAAUAUGCUUCAAAUGCCAUUAACCAAGAAUAAAGUGAAUUUGUUGCACUUAAUUUCAACAUCAGUUUACAAUUAAUUAAGCCAUUAUAGUUAAGCAAAAAUCAUUGAUUAAUUCUGUUUUUUUUUUUUUUUUUAUGUUAAUAGAGAUUUUAGUUGGAUACUGUUAAUCUUGAUUGUUAAGGUCAGGUAGGGCGCAUGGAUGUGUGACGUGUGUGUUGCUCAAUUUUUCAGGUGGUCACCUAUUCAGGAAACUACCAAAGUAAUCGCUUAUUUAACAUCAGUGCCGUCUGGCAAUUGAUGUGUCCACUGCGCCAUGCCAUGCCUCUCAACCGUGUUAUUUUAUUUUUCUUUAUAUUACAACAUUUUAUUUUUAUUUAACUGAAUUAAUCUAAAAUAGUAUUGUUAAGUAUAUUUAAAUCAAAGACAAAUUUUAAUCAAUGUAUAAGUUUAAAUUAUAAAAAUAAGAGUAUAAGAUAAUAAUAACUUUUUUAUUAGAAAUAUCAAAAUAAAAUUUUAAAUUUAUUAAAUUGCUGGAGAUUAAAUAUUUUCUUUAGUAGAUUUGAUAUUUUAACCAAAACUAAUUCCUCAGUGCUUCUUAUUUUUCCAAAACUAUUUUUAAAAAGAAUUGAUGGGUGUGUAACACUAUCUUAAAGAUUUUAUUUUCUGAGUAUUGUGAUGUUUUAAUUGUAAAGCAAUAAAUAAUUACUAAUAAUUAAUAAACUAGAUAAUAAAAGUAUAAAUUAUAUGAUAAUAUUUUAUUAUGGUACGCAUUGUGAUUUAAUAUUGUAUAAACUAAAAUAUUUUGUAUACAAAUUAUAAGAUAAAUAAAUAGGUGAUAUAUUUUUAUGAAAAAUACUAGACUAUAUUUUCAGAUUAAUGAAGAGAUAAUAUUGUUUUCUUUUAAACAUUGUAAAAAAUAAAAUAAAAUGAUAGAUCACAUUAACUUAAAAUACAUUUAAAUAUCAGUUAAUACAAGUUCAUUAUAUAAUUAAGAAAUCAUUAAAAAUAUUUCAUGAACAUUUUUCAUUUUAAAACCAUGAUUAAAUAAAUAAAAUAUAUCUCAUCAGUUUAAAGUAAGCUUAUUUGUUGUUAUUAAUUAUUUAGAUGCCUUUUUCAAAUUAUAUAAUAAUUAAAAUAAGAUAUAAUUACAUUUGUGAGUCUAGUUAAAAACAAAGUAUAAAUUAAAACUAUUAAUACAUAUUAGGGGUCUCGAUUGAAAACAUAAAUUACUGCAUCCAUGAACACAAUCUGUAUACAUAUGACUGAACAAUUUGUAUUUAUAUAAACCUACUAAAAGCAUGAAUUCAGAUGUUUCAGUAAUUUUCAAGUAUUUUGCUUAUGCAAAAUAUAUAAUUAAUUAUAUUAAAUUUAAUGUGGAUUUUGUACAACUAAAAUGUAUUUUAUUAUUAAAUUAAAAUUUUGAACGACGUAAUGAAAUCAUUGUAAAAAUUAUAUUAUCAGCAAAAUUAUGUCAUACAAUUUGAAUAUAUAUAAAUUAUAUAAAUUUCAAUAUAAAUAAAGUAUUAAAUAAUAUUUUAACUUUAUUUUUAAGUAAAAUUUGUAUUUAAUUAAUAGGUAAGAAAAUAACUUUUUUGUAGUUUAUUGUACAUUUAAUAAGUUAAAAUAUUUAGAAGAGUCAAAAAGAAUACUAUUAUAAUCAGUAGGUAUAGGAAAAAAAUUAAACAAUUUUACCUUAUGGUUAGAUAAACAAUGCUAUAAAUGUAACAAAUAUUAUGUACCUACUGUGUAACAAUUGUUCAAUUCAUUUUAUAUUUAUGUAUUAUAUAUUAUAAAUUUUAUUUUAUAAAAAUGGCAGUGGGUUCAUCCAUUAUUCAUUACAAUUUUAUGAAAUAAAAUAUUUUAUAUUGAUACUUUUCAGUUAUUAUACAAACUACUAGAAUUAAUUAUCAUUCAUUUUUUUUAUUGAAAUAAAUCUAGCAUCAGAAUUGUUUUCGAAUAAUUAUAUUUUAUACUAUUUUAUAUAGGUAAUAACAAAUGAUUAGGUAUUGCAUUAAAUUUGUAAUUAUAUAUUAAUUUUAUUUUACUAUUUUUCCUUUCGCUCACAGCAUAAUAUAUAAUUAAUUCUAUAUGCUAUUAUUAAAAAACAAUUAUCAAUAUUCAUUGUUACAUUAUAAAAAUAAUAAUAUAAAUAUUGUAUUAUAUACUAUUUAUUAAUAUUCAACCAUCAUUAUAAAAUAAAAAUAUGUAUGUUAUCAUGUAAUUUUAAUAAUUUUAGUCUGAAAAGACCCUGUUAUAAUUAUUGUAUAUUGCAUGAUAAAUUUUAAACAUAAACUGCAAAUAUAAAUAAUAUGCUUUUAAGGACAGUAUAAUCUUAAAUGACCGAAAAUGAAUGUUUGAAUUAAAGAUAAUAUUAAACAAACAAGGCAAUUAUCAUAUUAUGUAAUUUUAUAGAAAGUAAUAAUAGAAAAAAAUGCUAACACAACAGAUAUUUUGACUCAUAUAGUAAAAAACAAUUCUGUCACAAAACAUGGGAUUAAACAUUAAUUUUAUUUGUGUAAUGCAGAAAAUAUAAAAUUUUUUUUAAAUUAAGUUUAUUUCUUCAAAUAAUAAUUUAACAGUUAUUAUAUUAACAUUUUGAUAAAAAAAAUGUAUACCUACCCAGGGAAGCAAAACUAAUUUUAAGCCAUUUGUAAAAAAAUAUACUACCUAUUUCACCAAUGAAUAUUAGCUUAAUACCUAUACUAAAUAUUUGGUUAUUUUCAGUUAUUUAAAUUUACUAAUAAAUGUACACUCAUAUUAUUAAGAACAUAUUUUGUCUUAAAUGUACAUUUAAAUUAAAAAUAAGUAUAAUAAAAACAACGUUAAAAUGUUAAUUUAAAAAGAUCUCUAAUAUUAAUUUUUUUUUUUUAUUAAAAUUUUAUUUUUUUUUCUGUUUGAUCAAAAAAUAAUGUUUUUAAACAGUUUUGUUCAUGAUAUUAACUUCUGUAGUAUGUUUAUUUAUCUAUUUAUUUUAAAUGUUAUGUUAUGUGUUAGCUAUAAGCUAUAUUUUAACUUAGAAACGUAUUUAAGUCCUUGGGACAAGUAAUAAAAUAAUAAUUAUCUACUUAUUAUAUCUAAUAAUAAUUAUUUUAAUUAUAAUCAUGUUUUAGUUGAA